AGGGAAUAUUGGACAAUGGGCGAAAGCCUGAUCCAGCCAUCCCGCGUGGUAGAUGAAGGCCCUCUGGGUUGUAAAUACCUUUUAUAAGGGAAGAAACUCUCCGAUUCAUCGGAGCCUGACGGUACCUUAUGAAUAAGCACCGGCUAACUCCGUGCCAGCAGCCGCGGUAAUACGGAGGGUGCAAGCGUUAUCCGGAUUCACUGGGUUUAAAGGGUGCGUAGGCGGGAAAUUAAGUCAGUGGUGAAAGCCCCAGGCUCAACUUGGGAACUGCCAUUGAUACUGAUUUUCUUGAAUGUGUUUGAGGUAGGCGGAAUGUUGCAUGUAGCGGUGAAAUGCUUAGAUAUGUUACAGAACACCAAUUGUGAAGACAGCUUACUAAAACAUGAUUGACGCUGAGGCACGAAAGCGUGGGGAGCAAAC
rnacentral:rRNA from 1 species